rfam:Triticum aestivum genome assembly, contig: Triticum_aestivum_CS42_TGACv1_scaffold_033578_1BL
AUCAUACUCCCUCUGUCCGAAAAUACUUGUCAUCAAAAUGAAUAAAAGGAGAUGUACCUAGAUGUAUAUUAAUUCUAGAUCCAUCCAUUUUUAUCCAUUUUGAUGACAAGUAUUUUCGGACGGAGGGAGUACCAA